UGGCUCAGAACGAACGCUGGCGGCGUGCCUCAGACGUGCAAGUCGAACGCGAAAGUUCCCUUCGGGGAGCAAGUAGAGUGGCGCACGGGUGAGUAACACGUAGGUAAUCUACCUUGGAUUGGGAAUAACAACCGGAAACGGUUGCUAAUACCGAAUAAUGCAGCGGCACCUAAUGGUGACAGUUGUUAAAGCGGGGGAUCGCAAGACCUCGCGUCUGAAGAGGAGCCUGCGGCAGAUUAGCUAGUUGGUAAGGUAACGGCUUACCAAGGCAAUGAUCUGUAGCCGGCCUGAGAGGGCGGUCGGCCACACUGUCUCUGGCAUACUGGACNGACUCCUACGGACUGCAGCAGUGCGGG
rnacentral:rRNA from 1 species